GGACGCGCCUCUAUAUCACGUACCAUCCUCGCCGGAAUCUCCUUAUAUAAUGUGCGCUAGCUGCAUACGAGAAAUGAUGAAAGGUUGUACUUCCCAAGCCAUCUUCCAAACUACUAUAAAAUCAUCGCCAAGGCAAACAGUGACUCAAGUUGAGAGGGAUGAUUGGUCCAAAGAAGCUACAACCAGAUCUGGAAAACGGCUUCAACAGUCUUCUCCCUUCUCGCCACCACCCAAAAAGCACCAUUCAGGAUGUGAUGAGGAGUCAUG